GGGUCACAUUACAAACAUGUUUGUCACAGAGACGAAGCUAUCACAGAGACUGAAAAUUAAACACACACAAAGUUAACUGGUACUGGAAGUUAACUAGUACAGGGGACUAGUACACAGGGUGAACACACAUAUAUGCUAGCAGAAUACUAAUUGAUAGAACCAAAAUAUAAUAGAUCAAGUAUCUCCCAAAGUAACAAAGCCUCAACUAGUCAGAUCUCAGAUCACAUACACCAUAUUAUACGAGUACUUAAACAGAGCAAACAACAGGUUGCAAGUACACUUCAAAUCUGAAUAUUAAAUGUCAUACACUUCUAAAUUUUACAGAAAUUUCAGAGAGAGAGAGAAGCAGUAAGGAUUCGGAUUCAGAGAAGUGCAGCAGCAAGGUAAGGGAGGAAGGAGCAGCAGCAGCAAGUUAGGAGCAGCAGGGGACGCUGGAGACAAGGAGCAUCAGUAGUGGUGCAGCAAGAUAGGAGAAGAAGAACAGCAGUAGGCGUGUAAGGAAGAGGAGAAGCAGUUUGGGGAUUUGGAGAAGGAAGAGCAGCAAAGAGGCUAGGGAAAAAGAAGAAGAGCAGCAGUAGAGUUAGGACAAGAAGAAAGGUGGAGGAGCAGCAGGGAGAUGGAUUGCAGGGCGCGCGAGGUGGUGGUGGCGCUAGCGGCAGGAGGUGAUGGUGGCGCUAGCGGCAGGAGGUGAUGGUAGCGCUGGGUGUUGGUGCUGGUGAUGGAUGGCGCUGGUGGGUGGAUGAACUGCGGAGGCACACCACCACGCCGGCCUGGCCGUGGCGGCCGCCGAAGGUGGAGAAGGAGUGGUGAGGGGGAGAGAGAUGGAGAUGUGGCCAGGCCCGAUGGGGAAUGGAGGCAAUCUAGGGAUUUUGAUCCCCUCCCUGAUCUGCAAACUUUACACAUUAGCCCUCCUCCUUCUCUUCUUUCUUCACAAGAAGGUCCUCUCACUUCUUUAGCUAGCCCCCUGGUUACUUCUUUUCAUCUCACACAAGUCUCUUCUUCCUUCUCUUCUUUUCUUCACUCUUCUCGAUAACCACCUAGACAGAAUCUUGACGAUUAUUGGUGCCUUUGCGCACAUUUCUGCAAGAUAGACCAAAGACUAGUAAAUGAUCCUUUUUUAUGAUUAUCAAGCAAUAUU
rnacentral:rRNA from 1 species